GGGUCCCCUCCCCGACCAAGCCUCCCAGGUCUUCUGUUCAAAGCCCUCCCCCUCCACCUCACCUCCAGCCCUCUCUGCUCUGCCCCAUCAACUAUGUUUUCUCCCUCAGCACUUGCCUUAGAUCCCUGGACUCACGAGCACAGAGGCGACUUCUUCCUCGCAGACUUAAGGCGCCACUGCAGGGUCCAGAAAAGAAAGAGAAACGGCCCAGCGCGGUCGCUCACAAAAUUCAGGGCGGGGCUGCGCUCGGCGCCCGAAAGCUUUUUGUUUUCUGUUUUUUUUUGAAACGGAGUUUCGCUCUUGUUGCCCAGGCUGGAGUGCAGUGGCGCGAUCUCGGCUCACAGCAACCUCCGCCUCCCGGGUUCGAGUGAGUCUCCUGCCUCAGCCUCCGGACUAGCUGGGAUUACAGGCAUGCGCCACCAUGCCCGGCUAAUUUUGUAUUUUUAGUAGAGGCGGGGUUUCUCCAUGUUGGUCAGGCUGGUCUGGAAAUCCCGACCUUAGGUGAUCCGCCCGCCUCGGCCUCCCAAAGUGCUGGGAUUACAGGCUUGAGCCACCGCGCACGGCUUUGCCCGCAAGCGUUUUGAAUUUUGUGGCCCGGAAUUCACUGCGAGGACUGGGAUCACCCGUCACCCUUCCCUGGUCUACGGAAAAUGAAACGUGUUUACUGAUACAGAAACGGAAUAACGGCACUUUGGGCUGGAGAGGGCCGAGCUGCCUUCAGCCUUCUGGUCUCCAGCUGCAGGGCACUCACACCUGCCCGCUGUGAAAAUGCAGACCCGCGGGGCAGGAAUUCCGAGUCCGGGCUGGAGCGCGAUAUGGAAUCUGACUCGCUUGAAACAGCACCGCGGUGGAUUCGGAUCUGGACCCCGCUCCUGAGUAUCUCCCGCCUUCUUCAGAGGACUUCUCCUCAUGAAGUACAGACUCCUCCACCUCCAGGAAAAAGAGACAAAGACCACUGAGAGGGACCGAGAAACGCCUGUGACCCCACCCCUGAGGUCAGCCUCUCCCUCAGCCCUGGCUCUGGCUGUGUGUGUAUAUGUAUUUUGUUUUGUUUUGUUUUGUUUUGUUUGUUUGUUUUUGAGACAGGGUCUCACUCUGAUGGUCAAGCUAGAGCAGUGGCCCGAUCACAGCUCAUUGCAGGCUCCAACUCCUGGAUUCAGGCAAUCCUCCCGCCUCAGCUUCUCGAGUAGCUGGGACUACAGACUGGAGCCACCACACCCAGUGUGUGUGUGUGUGUGUGUGUGUAUGUGUGUAUUUUUUCUUUUCUUUUUUUUUUGUAGAGACUGGGUCUUGCUUUGUUACCUAUGCUGGUCUUGAACUUCUGGCUUCAAGCAAUUCUCAUGCCUCAGCCUCCCAAAGUGCUGAGAUUACAGGCAUAAACCACAACGCUUGGCCCCUGUGUGUGUACAUACGAAGUCAAAGUGCUAAACCUGGCGCCUAGGAAACAUCCCCAUCUUGGCAUUGCUUGCAAGGGUUGGUAUUUUGUGCACCUGUGCUUUUAUUUCAGGAGCUGGGACAAUUAUAUUCAUCAGAACAGCACAGUGUCAAGGCCCUCACCCCCAGAAAGCUUAAGGGACACUGUUUUAUGGAGGAGAGUGAGAUUGGAGGAGCCCCUGACUCCAAGUCUCCUGAUCCUUCCUACACAAAGCGAUGCUGAAAAAAAGUGCAGGACACUCCAUUUCCUCCUGGGACAAGACAGGGAAGCCAGAGCCACCGUGGAUGUCAAAUUCCAGCAAGGAAACACCAGUAUAGGAAAAUCUCCACGUCACAUUUUAAAGCUCACACAAUGGCUCAAAGAGAACCAACAUCAAAAAACCGAAUUCCUAGCUCAGGUGAGAUCACCAAAGUUGCCUGUGAAGUUUUGUGGAAAUUGCAGGUAGAAAGGACAUCUUUAUUUAGAGCUGCAGUCCAAUUGCUCCUGCAUCUUGGGGCCCCUUGAAAGGACCCUCUCCCUUCAACAGUGCAUAGUGAGGCCAUUUCUGGGGAGAAACGUAGACUGUCCUUGGACUCCUGAGGUUUUUACACUUACUUGCUGACUCUGUGGACUUUGACUUCAUCAUUAAACAUCUUAUAAUGAUGUUAUUUGCUUUGACUGUAAGUGCAGAAUAGGACGCUGUUCCUGAAGCAGGAAACAAGGGACUGGUGACCUGAACUGCCACCCCCUUCAUGGUGCUCAGAUGCAAUGAAAUCGUGAGGCAACAAAUCUAUGGCCAGGUAAAGGGUCAACUCCAUUUCAGCAAAUGUUUCAGAUGUUCCUUCUUGCCUAGUAAUGUUCUAGCUUUACCCCAACCUUAAUAUUUUAAAAUGUAUAUUUUCCUUGGUGUUGAUUUUAAAAUAAUUCAUAUGUAUUUAUUACACUGGGUUUGUUGCAGUAAGCCACCUUGAAUGUUGCUGUAGAAUUAAAGUAAGCAAAUAAA